rnacentral:rRNA from 1 species
UACAGAGGGUGCAAGCGUUAAUCGGAAUUACUGGGCGUAAAGCGCGCGUAGGUGGUUUGUUAAGUUGGAUGUGAAAUCCCCGGGCUCAACCUGGGAACUGCAUCAAAACUGACAAGCUAGAGUAUGGUAGAGGGUGGUGGAAUUUCCUGUGUAGCGGUGAAAAUGCGUAGAUAUAGGAAGGAACACCAGUGGCGAAGGCGACCACCUGGACUGAUACUGACACUGAGGUGCGAAAGCGUGGGGAGCAAACAGG